AGCCAGAGAGGUCCAGGCAGACGUGGUCACCUCAUUUCAAAGAUCCUGUGCAGGCCAUCAUCGGUGAUCCAGACAUUCAGAUGACAUGCAGCCACAGCGGCAGGUGGAGGUGCACAACCAUCUAAAUGGCUCACGGAUCGUGUUCUCAGACGGGGGCCCUCAGGGUGGACACCCCCAGCAGCAGCAGCAGCAGCUGCUCACAGCUCCAGAGCUGACCCAGGAAGUAGUGGUGAUCUCCCCUGGUCUGCCCACCCCCCCUCUCAGCCCUUUCCGGAUGGUCCAGCCUCCCUCCACACAAGACCAGGUUGCAGAGGUUAAUGGCAGCGGAUAUCCACUUCCAAGUUUCGGAUCUUACUAUGGACCUUCUGAGACAGGAGUGAUGCCCAAUGGGAUGCAGUCUGGAGGAUCUUCC
ensembl:lncRNA